CAUCUUCUCAUACCUCAUAACCUAUUGUCUUAUUCUUAUCUCACCUGCAGGCCACUAGGAUCUUGAAGGUAUUUCAGAGCAUAAGGCCAAUGGUACUUAAGGGAUGCCUGGUUCCAUAUUAAGAAUCUUCAGUCAUCACAGAUGGAGCUCUGCUGUUUCCUCUGAGAAAGAUACAUUCUAUGCUUCAGGAAAGUGCCUUAAGCAAGAAGUUGAAGAAUUCAGAAUAGCUUCAAUACUUCCCCAUGAAUCAGGUUCACUGGGCUCUUCCCAGCAACAAUAAAGAAGCCAAGCCACUGGACGACACUCUCAGAAAACUUAGAAAGCAAGGAAGAACCUGAGACUUGGCCUGACAGAAGGAGAAGCCAGUCAAACUGCCUGAAAGAGGUUUAGUCCAACUUAGAAUUUGGAAGUGCUAUUGUCCAAUCUGUUGACACACCUGAAAGCUGUGCAGUGUGUUACAGGUUCCCAACUUUUGUGAGCUGUCAUUCUUGUUGGUCUUUGGUGAUGCAGCUGUCUUUGCAUCAUUUCUGCUCCUAGAAGUAACCCUGACUCAUAAACCUGUAACACUGAUAAAACUCAUUGGUUCACCAAAUCAGACUUUGGUGAAAUGCAUACUUUGGUCUGUCAUAAGCUCCCUACCUAGGAUGAAUAGAGGUUGUGUGCUGCAUCUCACUAGGCAAAAUCUUGACAUUCAACAAGCUUAUACCUAUGAAUAGGUUUCACUAAACUUGACAUUAAAAUGUAAUAACUUUUAGUGUAUAGAAAAUAUCUAUCCUACCUUUUACUACCUCAUCAUCUUCAUAAAACUAGCGCCAUUUUUUAACAUUUAUUUAGCUAUUCACUUAUUUCCUUUGUGUGGAUGUAUAUAAACAUGGUACAGUGCAUGUUUUGUAAAAGAACCAUUUGCAGGUGUUGGAUCUCAAGUUGUCACACUGGAAAGCAGGUGCCUUUAUGUACAGGACCACCUUACUGCCCUUCCUCUCAUUCUUUUACAAAGGCAGCAUUAUUCAGAACUUAGACAGAAAUUAGUGGUUAUCAACAACACAGAACUGUCCCUUAGAACACUGAGUUCUUAUCUAGAAUACUGCCAAACUAUGUUUUAUAGAGUUUUAAUGAAAAUAGUAGGAGAUAUAUAGAGUAUAGCUUCUACUCUUCUUUUUAUUGAAAGAUAAAAAGGUGAUAUUCCUUGUAUAAACUUUAUGAACUCAGCUUGAUGUGUUACUUGAGGCUAUCAUAUUUGCCAUUAGCUUGGGCUUGUAUUAGUUUUCCAUAUUUCAAAG
rnacentral:lncRNA from 1 species